CUAGGGUAAUAAUUCCUAUCACAUCUGUGUUCGUGGACCAGCUAACUCAGAGAUCCCUGGGUCAGUGAUCAUGGAGUGAGCCAAGCAGCCCGCCGUCUCAUGCCCAGAUCUCUCUGGGUGUGAGACUGCAGGUCCUCGGAGAGACGCAGGCACUGUCCUCCUGCUGGGCUCAUCAGACAUCCUCUCCUCCCGCCUCAGCCUCUCUCAGCACAGCUACAUCAGAAACUGCUGGUCUGUCCUACCGUGUUGUUCAAAUCCUACAAUCAAGGAUUUGCUGAGGUGUCGCCUCCCCAUGGUAUUGUUGAGCCUGCCUUUCUGUGACCCCUGUGUCUCCUAUUCUGCUAUUCCAUCAGAAGACCUGAUCCAACAGCCUGCCCCUGCAUGCCUCUGGAUGCGUCCAGUCCUGAGUGAGGCACAACCCAGACAUACAGAAAUGAUGACACAGAAGAAUUCAGACCCAUCGGUCCUGUCUCUUGUGCAAGCUGACCCAGCCAGCAAGACCACUUUGUGACCUCCCACCCUGGAUACUUCUGGUAACCAUACACAGUGUUGGAGCAGCACAGAUGGCCGUGGCCAGUUGCUUGGCAUAUAAUCAUAGAAAGUUACAACACCGCCAGCCCAAGCACCAACAUGACCAAGCCCUGACUUUCACGAUCAAGUCACUGAGUCCUUAAGAAGCAGAAUCUGAAGAUGACAAAAGCAGGGUACCAAUGAUGCUCAUUAUCCCAUGAUGUCCAAGGGGGACUUCACAAAUGGGCCCCUUUCUCUUGGAACCCAAGUACUUCUCAGAUGUCUUCCCACACAGGAGGGCUCUGGGCAGCCACCAUCACUUUACCUGAGUUAGCUUUUGAGUUCAAGUCUCUUUAUCACUCCUUCCCUAUAUGUGUACGUACAACUCUCUCAAGUAACAGAAAUAAAUUAAUUUGAUAGCUCAUCUUUAAAAAGUUUCAUUAAACCCCUGUG